GUCGGGUGCGGUGGUGCACGCCUGUAAUCCCAGUGGCUCGGGAGGCUGAGGCAGGAGAAUCUCGAGUUCAAAGCCAGCCUCAGCAACAAUGAGACGCUAAGCAACUCAGUGAGACCCUGUCUCUA
rnacentral:sRNA from 1 species